rnacentral:rRNA from 1 species
AAAAUUAGCGCGGCGAAUAACCUUACACACUAUGUUUUUUUAAUUUGAAACUAUUGCUUUGGUCUGGCUUAGAAAUAGGUUGGGCCAAAGGUUUUAUCAAAACUUCAAUAUUUAUUAUUGAAUUGUUAUUUUUAAUUUUAUGUCAAUUUGUUGAUUAAUAUCAAAAAUCUUCAAAACUUUCAACAACGGAUCUCUUGGUUCUCGCAUCGAUGAAGAACGCAGCGAAAUGCGAUAAGUAAUAUGAAUUGCAGAUUUUCGUGAAUCAUCGAAUCUUUGAACGCACAUUGCGCCCUUUGGUAUUCCAAAGGGCAUGCCUGUUUGAGCGUCAUUUCUCUCUCAAAUCUUCGGAUUUGGUUUUGAGUGAUACUCUUAGUCAGACUAAGCGUUUGCUUGAAAUGUAUUGGCAUGAGUGGUACUAGAUAGUGCUGAACUGUUUUCAAUGUAUUAGGUUUAUCCAACUCAUUGACCAGUAAAGUAUUUGUUUAUUACACAGGCUCGGCCUUACAACAACAAACAAAGUUUGACCUCAAAUCAGGUAGGACUACCCGCUGAACUUAAGCAUAUCAUAGCCCGGAAGGAAG